CUUUACACAUCACACCAGGCAAAGGAGAAGCAAGCUCUAAAGGAAACCUAGCCAGGGAACUGAGGUGAAAAGAGCGUAUCUACUGAACCAUUUGCUUUUACAAGCCCGUGUGAGGAAGAUGAAAGAGCCAGAUUCCAGUUCUGGCUGUGUGUUUCCAGAGCCGUGCAAGUGUGGACAGAAUGGGGAGCAAGAUGGCCAAAUAGAAGCCUCCAGCAAUUAUGCCCCCUGCUAGGAACAACAAAAUAAGCAACACAAGAAAAGCACCUUCAUAGAAAUGAAAAAUCAGGUGAGCAAUCACAAUACCCAGUUUUAACUUCCUAUCACCGAAAGAGGUAUUGAAG
rnacentral:lncRNA from 1 species